rnacentral:rRNA from 1 species
GCUUAGCCCUUAACACAGACAGCACAAACACAMCGCYSKUCRCCMKMRAAGUAUAAGUAAAAACUAGAAACUCCAAGGACUUGGCGGUGCCCCAAAUCGACCUAGAGGAGCCUGUCCUAUAAUCGAUAAUCCACGUUAUACCUCACCAUUUUUUGAAGCUCAGUCUAUAUACCGCCGUCACCAGCUUACCUCAUGAGAGAAACAAAGUAAGCAAAACAAUUAAAAACUAAUACGUCAGGUCAAGGUGUAGCAUAUAAAAUGGCAGAGAUGGGCUACAUUUUUUAGACAGAAAAUCACGGACGGCACAAUGAAAAACCCUGCCCAAAGGCGGAUUUAGCAGUAAGAUAAAGCAGAAUACUUAUCUUAAACACGCUCUGGGGCGCGCACACACCGCCCGUCAC